UACGAAGGGGGCUAGCGUUGUUCGGAAUUACUGGGCGUAAAGCGCGCGCAGGCGGUCUUUUAAGUCAGGGGUGAAAGCCCAGAGCUCAACUCUGGAAUUGCCUUUGAAACUAGAAGACUAGGGUACGGGAGAGGUGAGUGGAAUUCCGAGUGUAGAGGUGAAAUUCGUAGAUAUUCGGAAGAACACCAGUGGCGAAGGCGGCUCACUGGCCCGUUACCGACGCUCAGGCGCGACAGCGUGGGGAGCAAACAGG
rnacentral:rRNA from 1 species